rnacentral:rRNA from 1 species
AUGGCGCCGCCUCGCCCCCCUCCGGCCCGCGGCGGACGCCGCCCACCCCCUAAGUCCGCGCCCCUCCGUCCGGAGGAGGAGCUGCUCCUCGAGGCAGCGUCCGACGGCGACCUCGUCCUCUUCAAACGGCUGGCGAGGAUGAUGGACGGCGGGCGCGGGCGCGUCACGGAGGCGGUAGAGGCCGUUGUGGAGUGCACGGCGGGGGCGCUGCACCUCGCCGCCGGCCAAGGGGAAUUGGCGAUGUGCAGGUACCUGGUCGAGGAGCUCCGGGUGGAUNNNNNNNNNNNNNNNNNNNNNNGUGAAACGCCUCUGGCUUAUGCAAUUAAUGGUGCAAAUAUAGCUACUGUGAAGUAUCUUCUGGACCAUGGUGCUGAUCCAGAUAAAGUUGAUGACAAAGGAUUUACUUCUCUCCAUAUUGCAGCUGAGGAAGGAUAUUGCAAUAUAGUGGAGCUCUUGCUUUCUAGAGGGGCUUCCGUUGAUGCAUUAUCUAAUCGUGGUACACCACUGCACCUUGCUGCUACUAAUGGUCAUCAUCAAACAGUGAAGAUUUUGUUGGACCACAACGCUGAUUGCAAUAAGAUUGUGAAUGGUGUCUACACACCUCUCCUUGUAUCUAUUUAUGCUCCGUCACUAAAAUGUGUGAAGCUACUAAUCCAGGCUGGUGCUGAUGUAAAUGGUGUGGGUAAUAUAACCCCCUUAAUAGCUGCUGUUGGGUUAACUGAGUGCAUGAAGUGCUUAUUGGAAGCUGGUGCUGACCCAAACGUCCCUGAUGAAUUUGGCAGGAUGCCAAUAGAGUUUGCGGCAAUAUGUGGUACACGAGAAGAUGUUGAGAUCCUAUUUCCUUUAACUUCUCGUAUUCCGGCUGUACGUGAUUGGAGCGUCAAUGGAAUAAUAUGUCACGCAUACUCAUUGCCAGGGCAAAAGUUCUAUGAGAGGGGGCUGGAAAGGGACAGAGCUAGUUUGAAAUUUCAAGGAAGAAAGGCACUCGAGAGAAAGGAUUACCUUUCUGCAAUUGAACUAUACACUAAGGCAAUGGGCCUUGAUUAUGAGGAUGCGACCCUGUACUCAGAUAGGAGUCUCUGUUUUCUCCAAAUUGGCGAGGGAGACAAAGCCUUUGCGGAUGCUUAUACUUGUAGAAUGAUGCGCCCUGAUUGGCCAAAGGCCUGCUAUCGGCAGGGAGCAUCUCUAAUGCUGAUGAAGGAUUAUGAAAAGGCCUGUGGUGCCCUUUUUGAUGGUUUGAAAAUGGACCCACGGAAUCUUCAGAUUGAGAACGCUUUACGGGAGGCUAUGGAUUCCUUGAGGAUAUCUCGUGGCGCUAAGACUGUAUCGAAGUGCCCAUAG